GAUGAACGCUGGCGGCGUGCUUAACACAUGCAAGUCGAACGAAGCGAGAACUAAAGCGCAAGCAGAGGUUCUUGACUGAGUGGCGGACGGGGGAGUAACGCGUGGAUAACCUGCCUUUCACAGGGGGAUAACAGCUGGAAACGGUUGCUAAUACCGCAUGAGUCUCUUUUGUCGCAUGACGGGAGAGGGAAAGAGAAAUCGGUGAGAGAUGGAUCCGCGUCCGAUUAGCUAGUUGGAGGGGUAACAGCCCACCAAGGCGACGAUCGGUAGCCGACCUGAGAGGGUGGACGGCCACAUUGGGACUGAGACACGGCCCAA
rnacentral:rRNA from 1 species